GACGAACGCUGGCGGCGUGCUUAACACAUGCAAGUCGAACGGAAAGGCCCCUUCGGGGGUACUCGAGUGGCGAACGGGGGAGUAACACGUGGGUAACCUGCCCUUGACUUCGGGAUAACUUCAGGAAACUGGGGCUAAUACCGGAUAGGAAUCCUUGCUGCAUGGUGGGGGUUGGAAAGCUUCGGCGGUUUUGGAUGGACUCGCGGCUUAUCAGCUGGUUGGUGGGGUAGUGGGUUACCAAGGCUUUGACGGGAAGCCGGCCUGUGAGGGCGACCGGCCACAUUGGGACUGAGAUACGGCCCAGACGCCGACGGGAGGCAGCAGUGGGGAAUAUUGAACAAUGGGCGGAAGGCUGAUGCAGAAACGCCGCGUGCUGGAUGACGGCCUUCGUGUUGUAAACCGGUUUCAGCAGGGGCGAAGCUUGUGGUGACGGUACCUGCAGAAGAAGCACCGGCUAACUACGUG
rnacentral:rRNA from 1 species